UAUAAGUUAAACCUAAUGAUCCAAUCGAAAACUUUUUAAUGUUUCCUAUAGCUUUUUUAAGUGGAGCAUCAUAUACAGCUGCUAGACUAAAUGAUGUUGAAGCAAACCAGCGUCUUGCACCAAGUAGUAUUUCGGAGGGCAUAUUCAUUUUAGAAUUAAGUAUGUGAGUUGAAUGUUACGAUUUUUAAAUUUCCAUGUCCUUUACUAUUUAUGACUGAUGAAAUUAAAGAUUUAGAAUAUGAACCGGGUCAAUGUGGAGUGGAAAUAGCGAAUUGGUAAAUUGUGCCUCUCAGUAUGGGAGUAAUGUAG